rnacentral:rRNA from 1 species
UACAGAGGUCUCAAGCGUUGUUCGGAUUCAUUGGGCGUAAAGGGUGCGUAGGCGGCGCGGUAAGUCGGGUGUGAAAUCUCCGUGCUUAACAUGGAAACUGCCAUUGAUACUACUGAUCUUGAAUUUUCAGGAGGUAAGCGGAAUAUGUCAUGUAGCGGUGAAAUGCUUAGAUAUGACAUAGAACACCAAUUGCGAAGGCAGCUUACUACAGGAAUAUUGACACUGAUGCACGAAAGCGUGGGGAUCAAACAGG